rnacentral:lncRNA from 1 species
AUCACUCAGUGGGAGGAGAGCAAUUGAAUCACUUAUUUUGUAUAUGUGCUAUUAUCUUUAUUACUGUUUUUAUUAUAAUUUUAUCUUCCUUUUCUGUCCUAUAAAGCUAUCUUAACACAUGAGUUUUAAUUUUAUCCAGUUCUCUCUUUCCCCAUCCCGCCUUUGGCAGGAGGAAUGAGCAGUGGCUGUGUGGUGCUUAGCUGCCUCCCAGCUUACACCAGAACAUCCACCUGAAUUAUUUUUGGCCACUGAACACACACACACACACACACACACACACACACGCACACACAAAGGAUAAAUCUUGCUUAAAUAAAAAGUCCCAUCCAAAUUCCUGUCACCCUGACAUUAGUGGGACUCGCAUUAGACCACUACAGUUAUUCUGUAGUUUCUGCCAGUACCAUUGAAGCUUUUUCUUUUUUCUUUUUUUGGUGGAGGAUUAUUUUUACAUAAGAUGGCCUUUCUUAUGUGGAGAACUGCAGCAGCACAUCAAGAACAGUGGAUGCGUUCACAAUACUGAAUGAAAUCAGUCUAUAUUUAUAAAGGGAAGUGCACGAGAAGUGCAGCUAUAGGAGGAUCUGCUCUGAUUAUAUCUCAGAAGAACAGAUUGAAUUCCAAUUGAAACCUUCAAUAAGGCCUGAGUUAUAGGCAAGAUUAUGAAAUCUCUGGUAUUCUACAUGCUCAGAACAAAAUCUCCAACAUGCCCACUUCAAUAGCUUGCGCAAAAUUAAACGAACAAAAACAUAACACUGGAUUUUGAAGGAUGUCCUUCUACAAAUUUCCACCACAAACCUUAUGUUUGAGUUCAGACUGUAAAAAACAUAUAUGAAAUGACAACAAACGUCUUUUUAGUACGGAAAUGUGCUCAUUUUAAGCAGUUGGAAAUACAUGAAAAAAUCAUGAAAGUAACUGAAAUACCUGCC